rnacentral:rRNA from 1 species
UACAGAGGUCUCAAGCGUUGUUCGGAUUCAUUGGGCGUAAAGGGUGCGUAGGUGGCGCCGUAAGUCGGGUGUGAAAUUUCGGAGCUUAACUCCGAAACUGCAUUCGAUACUGCGGUGCUUGAGGACUGGGAGAGGAGACUGGAAUUCAUGGUGUAGCAGUGAAAUGCGUAGAGAUCAUGAGGAAGACCAGUGGCGAAGGCGGGUCUCUGGACAGUUCCUGACACUGAGGCACGAAGGCCCAGGGGAGCAAACGGG